rnacentral:lncRNA from 1 species
GUAAGCCAAUCAUCUGUCUGACUGACAGUCUCAUCGUAGAGGUAAACCAAUCAUCUGGCUGACAGGAUCAUCGUAGAGGUAAGCCAAUCAUCUGUCUGACUGACAGGCUCAUCGUAGAGGUAAACCAAUCAUCUGACUGACAAGAUCAUCGUAGAGGUAAACCAAUCAUCUGACUGACAGGAUCAUCGUAGAGGUAAACCAAUCAUCUGACUGACAGGAUCAUCGUAGAGGUAAACCAAUCAUCCAUGUGAUUUCCCGGAGUGCCUGCAUUCUGAAAUAUUGAACGCUGUUUAAAAUUGCAAAGUCUAUUUCGGCACAUUCCUCGCAGUGAGACAUUAAGAUAUUAAUGAACAUGAUUAAUGUAUCGUAAUGGAGAGAG